GUGGGCGUAGCUUAGCUGGUUAAAGCGCCAGGUUGUGGCCCUGGAGAUCAAGGGUUCAAAUCCCUUCGUCCACCCGA
rnacentral:tRNA from 5 species